rnacentral:rRNA from 1 species
AGCGGCGGACGGGUGAGUAACGCGUGGGCAACCUGCCUUACACAGGGGGAUAACAGUUAGAAAUGACUGCUAAUACCGCAUAAGACCACAGGACUGCAUGGUCCGGUGGUAAAAACUCCGGUGGUGUAAGAUGGGCCCGCGUCUGAUUAGGUAGUUGGCGGGGUAACGGCCCACCAAGCCGACGAUCAGUAGCCGACCUGAGAGGGUGACCGGCCACAUUGGGACUGAGACACGGCCCAGACUCCUACGGAAGGCAGCAG